rnacentral:rRNA from 1 species
CACGUAGGGCGCAAGCGUUGUCCGGAAUUAUUGGGCGUAAAGAGCUCGUAGGCGGUCUGUUGCGUCUGCUGUGAAAACUCGGGGCUUAACCCCGAGCCUGCAGUGGAUACGGGCAGACUAGAGGUAGGUAGGGGAGAAUGGAAUUCCCGGUGUAGCGGUGAAAUGCGCAGAUAUCGGGAGGAACACCGGUGGCGAAGGCGGCAUCCUGGACCAUGACUGACGCUGAGGAGCGAAAGCUAGGGGAGCAAACAGG